UCUCAGGCUGAGAUCUGUAGAGCGCACUUUGAUUUUGCUAAGACUUAAGACACGGUUAAAAUGAGACGGCGUUAUACCGCUGGCAUAAAGUCUCGUUUUAACUGAAACUUAAGCCUAUGCAAAGUACGCUCUAUAAUCU